CUGGGUCACCGCCCGGGCCGCGCCACCCGCUCCGCGAGGAAGUGACGACUGCGCCGUCCCGAGAGCAACAAAGUUUGAGUCUGCGGGCCCUGCUCGCCUGCGCCCCGCGCCCCUCCUAGCCGCCCCGGGAUCCAGCGCGCAGGAACAAUAAAGAAUAAAUCAACACAGGAGAAAAGGGCCUGCAGCAGCUGCUCAGAGACCCGGAGAAACGCAAGGAAUGUGUGAGCUUUUGGCAGAGGCCCUGCAUCUUGACCGGGGGCUGAGAAAGGCCAUGACACUGACUGGACGGCUGGACGAGUGAGGCAUGUGCCUGCUCUGCAGCCCAUCUGGGAGGCCCCGGGCAGCCAUGCUGAGAGCCCGCAUGCUUGCUGGCAGCAAGGUUUUGUGCUUCUUGAUCACUGACAGGUACUGGAGAGCCAUAUUGCAUAUUGUCCCCAUUCUUAUCCUCCAAACCAGCAGGGUGCCCCCUAAAAAAAAAAACAAAACUCCCUUCCCUCCCCCGCACCAGGCCAUCAGGUAGGUGUUGGUUCCUUCUAGGGUGGGCCAGGCGGGAUAAGCAGGGCCGAUGAAGAUACACACCUAGACACCCGCCUCCCCUUCCUCCCAAGAAGGAGAGGCUGCAGUGGCAGGUCUGAGAGAGCACUGAGUCUGGGAACAUCCCCUGGGGAUCCUGACUGUGUGUUCUUGGCCAAGUCACGUUACCUCUUGGGAUUUCAGUCCCAUCAGCCAUGAAAUCAAGAUUCGGACCAAUGGUUUUUGGGGUGGCCUUGAGCAUCUGUCUCCUUUACUCAGGAUGCACGGUGAACAAUCUUUAUUUGGAGAUUUCACUUCUUGCAAAGAAACCCUUCUGAGAGUCCCAUGCAGAGAGGUGCCGGGGCUGAUGCUCGGCGCCCUGGGUGGGGGCCAUUGGCACUAGUAAGGAACCCAAGCAUGGACUGACUUGACCCAGAUUUCAGGGUGCCAGAGGGAGGGGGCAGGAACCCCAGGCCCCCAUGGGGAUUUGAGGCAAGUCACGGCUUUAUUUUUAAAGAGCUGUUGGCCGACCGUGGGUGUGGGGCUGGAGUGUGUGGGAGGGAUGUGGCUUCCUCUUAAACUGAAGAUGUUGAGCUUUACAAGUUGGCCCAGUGAUGGUAAUCACCAGUAGUAGUAGAAUCUUCAUCUUCAAAAGCCACUCGCCUCCCAGGCCUCGCUCACUCACCUUCCCUGACCAGCCACACUUCCAGGACAUGACAGCAGUUUUCAGGCCAGCUGAAGCCAGGGAGAAGAUGGAAACAGCCCAGAAGCUGCUGCCAUCCAUCCCAAAGAGCCUGAGGCGCACCCCAGCAGGAGACUGAGCCUGCGGCCCUGCAGACGGGGCUCUGGGUUCCAGUCCUGGCGUAGCCUCUGUACUGCUGUGACCUCAGCUCUUCAGGUGCCUCUCUGAGAAGGGAGAGUGUCGUCAUACCCACCUUAUCUUGAGGAUUUAACGGGCUCCUGGGUGUAGGGUGCUCAGCACCAUGCUUGGCACACAGUAGUGCCCUCUAGAAAUGUCGGAGGUAGUGAUGAUGGUGAAAUAGAAACCUUAUUUUUGCGAUGUUGGGCUCCAAGCCCUGCCUCAUAUCUUGCCAAAAGGUGGGGCCUCCUAAAUGGUGGCAUGAAGUAUUGUUAUUGGCGUCCUUGAUUCUUGGUCCGGGCUGUGUAUCUGCAGGCAAGUUUCUUUCCUUUUCUGGGCUCUUUGUGGAAUUGAAUCGAGUGAACUGUGACAUCUCUUGAGAUUUGAAAUCUGUUUAGCUUCCCCCGCUGUUGCUCUGCUUUGGUGGUUGGCUCUGAAGAGAGGCACAAGCCACCUUUCUCCAUGUGGUGUGGAGACCCUUAAUCCAGAGGGUGAUCUUGCUGACUCUGCAGCUCCCAACUCAUCCCCAUAGUCCUCCCACCUCAAAGCACUAUGGGCUCUCCUAACUUCGAAGAGGGUCUUGAGAUGCUCGUGAUUUUGAGGGAGACUAUUCCUGCAGACCGGGGCUGGGAUUAUUUUUUGAGGGAGACUGUUCCUGCAGACCGGGGCUGGGAUUAUUUUUUGAGGGAGACUGUUCCUGCAGACCGGGGCUGGGAUUAUUUUUUGGGAGGGAGUCUUAUAUACUAUGUUCUACUUGGAAAUGGCCCUAGGAAAAGCAGCAGUUCUAUGAGGAAACAUGAGAAAGUGGAGGGUCUACAGCUGGCUUUGUGGGGUUCUCAUGUGUAGCAUUCCUUCUGAAGCCCACAACAUGAUUUGAGACUUUUACCUGGAAUUAUGAUGAAAAGACCAGGGACUUUAAAGGCGGAUGACAAGAUUUUGAAUCUUGCUUCUGCCACCUUAAUAACCGAGCCUCAGUUUCCUUCUGUAGCAUGGGGACAAUGAGGAGAUGCCUGGGUAGGGAGACUGUGUUUGUAAAUUAGGAUAUGUCAGCUGCCUGGCAUGGGGGAAGUCCUCGGUAAAUGUUAGCGUCCUUCUUUCGGGGAAAGAUCUGUCUUUUGGACAUUUGGUAGAUUGGCUGGGGGAGUGAAAUAUUUGCUUGUGACCAUUUUCCCAGGGAGAAGGGGUCUGGUUAACAAGCUGUAAUAGCCCUAAAGGGUUCUCCCUCCCCAGCUUGUUUUGAUUCUGGGAUCAAGCUUGGGGCUGGGGUCAGUUUCAGUGUGUGUCUGGGGUGGUGGCUGGGAGAGGGGCUACCCAGGCAUUUGCAAAAGGCUGAGAUCUGUGGCUUCCUAGGGCUGUGCAGAAGGUGUGGGGAAUAUGGUCUCAGUAAGGGGGUGGCCUUUCUGAGCUGUGAGAACUUGACAAGUUACUUCUAACCUUCAUUUCCUGUAAAUUCCCCAAAUUUCCUUCUAUUUUUGGUUUCUGAUUUUAUCUCAUUUCAAUUGGAGAACACACUUUGUAUGACUUCAGCCCUUUCAGAUUCAUUGAGGCUUGUUUCAUGGCCUAAUUUAUGAUCCUUCCAGGAGAAUACUCUGUGUCCCCUUGAGAAGAAUAUGUAUUCUCCUGUUGUUGGGUGAAAUGUUCUAUGGAUAUCUGUUAGGUCUGUUUGCUUUAUAGUGUUCAAGUCUUCUGUUUCCUUGUUGAUCUUUUGUUUAUUUGUUCUAUCCACUCUUGAAAGUGAAGGCUCCAAAUAUUAUUGUUGAAUUGUCUGUUUUCCCAUUCAGUUUUGAAAGUUUUUGCUUCGUGUGUUUUGGGGGCCCGGUUGUUAGGUACAAAUACGUUUGUAAUAUCCUGUUGAUGGAUAGACACUUUUAUUAUUAUGAAACAUUCUCCUUUGUCUCUAAGAGUUUUUGUCUUAAAACUUUUGUCUAAUAUUAGCUGAACCAUUCCAGCUCUCUUUUGGUUACUGUUAGCAUGGUAUACUUUUUUCCCCUUCCUUUUACUUUCAACCUAUUUGUGUCUUUGAAUAUAAAGUGUGUGUCUCUUGUUAACAGUUGGAUCAUGGUUUUGUUUUGUUUUUAUUCUAUUUCCCCAAUCUGUGCCUUUUAAUUGGGGUGUUUAGUCUGUUUACCUUUAAAAUAAUUAUUGAAAAGAUUAGAUUAUAUGUCUGCCAUUUUUGCUGUUUGAUUACCAUGUCUGAUGUCUUUUUUUGUUGUUCCUCUAUUACUCUAUUAAUAUUUUCUUUUGUGUUAAAUAGAUAUCAUUCCAGACCUGUAAAAUGGGACAAAGAAGAGUAAGGGUUAAAUAAGAUGUUGCCUACGGUGUGCUCAGCACAGUGUCUGCCAGGUAGUAAAAGCUCAGGUGGGGCUUAGGCCCUGUAAGAGCCACAGUCAGCCCUACGGCUCCUGGGACCCCUCAUGCCUCCUGGGCAGGGUACGGUGACCUGGCUGGUGGCUCCCAGGGGAGUGAGAAGCAGUAGGUACUUGGAAACUGCCCUGGGCCAGGAUCUGACCUCUAGCCUUUCCUCUGCUCCAGCUCCCGGGCACCCCCUGGGCUGCUCAGGAAGCACUGCAGAUUUCCCCACCUGGAGCCUGUACCCGGUUACCAGACCCAUGAACCGAUCUCUCAGUGGUUUGAGAACCACUGCUCAGCGCCGACAGCAGAGUGUGACAGAGACCUGAUGGCAGGCUUGGGUUAGAAUCCUGGCUCUUCCCUUGGGACCUCAGGCUGUGGCCUGGUAGAAGUUACUCUCCAGAGCUAACCUUUUCUCCUUUCUCAGGUAGGAAUAGGUGGUUGUACAAGUAAGCAAUACUCACACUCACUGGACACAUGAGCAGAGCUAGUGGCUACUCUGUAUUGUGGCUGUUGCUUGUCACAAAAGUGAUUCCUGGAUACAGGCCUUGGUCCCCUCUCCCUCGCUCCUAAAUUCCUCAAAGGCAGAAGAAACCAAUGAGUGGUGGGUUCUAGACCAGACAUGGUUACCUGACAACCAGUUCACCGUUUCUUCUCCAUUGGGCCACGUUGCCUCCAGGCCCUGCUUCUCCCAGCCUUGCUGCAGAAACAGAAGGGAACUGAAGAAGCCUUGUGGACUCGUGGUUAACACCGAGUAAAAGCACGCAGAUUCAGAAAGGGCGAGAACAGUGUGUGCUGGAGGGCUGCCUGGAGGAGGUAGGCUUUGAAGGGAGGCCGGUGGCAGCAGGGCUUCCAGGCAGAGUGAACUGCUCCAGCCAAGGUUCGAAGUCAGGGAAUUCUUCCCAGGGUCACCUAUUCCCUGCAUGUAUCUCGAGCCCCAGGACAGGCUACCUUGCAUUAUAAUUUAUUUGUGUUUCUGUUCUUCUCCCCCACUGGACUGGUAGCUCUGUGUGGGUAGGGACUGUACCUCAUCUCCUGUGUCUCCUCAGAGCCUGGCUUAUAGCCAGUUUUCACCAAAUGCUUGUUGAGUGAAUGAAGGGGCCGUGGGCAGGCCUGCAGGGCUACAGAAGGGUGUGUGUGUGAAAGAGAGGGGGAGCAGGCAGGGCAGGGCCACGAUGAGGGAGGUCCCUGCAAGUGGCCUUCUCUGUAUGUUAGUCUGGGGCAGAAUCUGGCACUGGGGCUCAGGCACAGACUCCAGGGAGCCCUGCCCUAGACCUGCCAGCAAGCAAGGCCCUUCCAGAAGAGGAGCCAGGCGCUUCCAGAAGGGGAGGGUGGAGCUGGAGCAGCCUCUGGUGGCGUGAACCCUGUAGGGCCUAGAGACAGUUGUGAAGUCCCCAUGAAGCCCUCUCCAGAGGCUCAGUCACUGAAGGGCUGGCUUCAGGGACACUUGCUUUGUCUCUUCUGGAGACAGCCCAAGCCUGCCAGCUUCCACUUUCCCCCGUCUGCCCCCCCUCCCCGGAAGUCCCGAGUGCUGUAGAAGGGGAUUUCCUGAGCUGCCUGUGGUCGUUGGUGGCCCUUGCCCAGGAGGGAAGCAGGCCAGUCCCCCCACCCCGAGUGUGGACAAAAGCUGGACCAGGAGCUCAGUCCUUUCCAGGCUCUGCCUCGACCUUGAAGUUUUCUCUCUGCCUCAGCUUCCCUGCUGUAAAAC
ensembl:lncRNA